GUCUGUAUGAAGUUAUAUAGAGUCUAGCCUGCCCAUUGAAUAAUUUAAAAGGCCGCGGUAUAUUAACUGUGCAAAGGUAGCAUAAUCAUUAGUUUUUUAAUUGAAGGCUUGGAUGAAGGGUUGGACAAGGAAUAAACUGUCUUUAUUUUUAUUUUUGAAUUUAACUUUUAAGUGAAAAGGCUUAAAUAUGUUUAAGGGACGAUAAGACCCUAUAAAUCUUUACAUUAAGUUAUUUUUUUUAUUAGUUUGUAAUGUAUAAAAAAUAAUAAAAUAAUAGAUGUUGUAUUGGGGUGAUAAGAAUAUCAGGAAUAACUGUUCUAAAAAAUUAAGUCAAAGUUGUUUGAGUAUAGUAGAUCCUUUUUAGAGAUUAAAAGUUUAAGUUACUUUAGGGAUAACAGCGUUAUUUUUCUUGAGAGUUCUUAUCGAAAGAAAAGUUUGCGACCUCGAUGUUGAAUUAAAAUUUCUUUAUAGUGCAGAAGUUAUAAAAGAAAGUCUGUUCGACUUUUAAAUUUUU
rnacentral:rRNA from 1 species